rnacentral:rRNA from 1 species
GACAGAGGGGGCAAGCGUUGCUCGGAAUCACUGGGCGUAAAGGGCGCGUAGGCGGGAUGGCAAGUCGGUCGUGAAAUCCCUCGGCUUAACCGGGGAACUGCGUCUGAUACUGGAUGGCUAGAGGUUGGGAGAGGGAUGCGGAAUUCCAGGUGUAGCGGUGAAAUGCGUAGAUAUCUGGAGGAACACGGUGGCGAAGGCGGCAUCCUGGACCAAUUCUGACGCUGAUGAGCGAAA